rnacentral:rRNA from 1 species
UUGAAAUCCUGCGGGAAUUGUAAUUUGAAGGUUUCGUGGUCUGAGUCGGCCGCGCCCAAGUCCAUUGGAACAUGGCGCCUGGGAGGGUGAGAGCCCCGUAUGGCGCACGCCGACUCUUUGCACCGCGGCUCCGACGAGUCGAGUUGUUUGGGAAUGCAGCUCUAAGUGGGUGGUAAAUUCCAUCUAAAGCUAAAUAUUGGCGAGAGACCGAUAGCGAACAAGUACAGUGAUGGAAAGAUGAAAAGCACUUUGAAAAGAGAGUGAAACAGCACGUGAAAUUGUUGAAAGGGAA